rnacentral:rRNA from 1 species
GACGAACGCUGGCGGCGUGCUUAACACAUGCAAGUCGAACGGAAAGGCCCUGCUUUUGUGGGGUGCUCGAGUGGCGAACGGGUGAGUAACACGUGAGUAACCUGCCCUUGACUUUGGGAUAACUUCAGGAAACUGGGGCUAAUACCGGAUAGGAGCUCCUGCUGCAUGGUGGGGGUUGGAAAGUUUCGGCGGUUGGGGAUGGACUCGCGGCUUAUCAGCUUGUUGGUGGGGUAGUGGCUUACCAAGGCUUUGACGGGUAGCCGGCCUGAGAGGGUGACCGGCCCCAUUGGGACUGAGAUACGGCCCAGACUCCUACGGGAGGCAGCAGUGGGGAAUAUUGCACAAUGGGCGGAGGCCUGAUGCAGCAACGCCGCGUGCGGGAUGACGGCCUUCGGGUUGUAAACCGCUUUCGCCUGUGACGAAGCGUGAGUGACGGUAAUGGGUAAAGAAGCACCGGCUAACUACGU